rnacentral:rRNA from 1 species
AUUGAACGCUGGCGGCAUGCCUUACACAUGCAAGUCGAACGGUAACAGGUCUUCGGAUGCUGACGAGUGGCGAACGGGUGAGUAAUACAUCGGAACGUGCCUAGUAGUGGGGGAUAACUACUCAAAAGAGUGGCUAAUACCGCAUGAGAUCUACGGAUGAAAGCAGGGGAUCGCAAGACCUUGUGCUACUAGAGCGGCCGAUGGCAGAUUAGGUAGUUGGUGGGAUAAAAGCUUACCAAGCCGACGAUCUGUAGCUGGUCUGAGAGGACGAUCAGCCACACUGGAGCUGGGACACGGCCCAGACUCCUACGAGAGGCAGCAGUGGGGAAUUUUGGACAAUGGGCGCAAGCCUGAUCCAGCAAUGCCGCGUGCAGGAUGAAGGCCUUCGGGUUGUAAACUGCUUUUGUACGGAACGAAAAGCCCCGGGUUAAUACCCUGGGGUCAUGACGGUACCGUAAGAAUAAGCACCGGCUAACUACGUGCCAGCCGCCGCCGUAA